ACGCUAGCUACAGGCUUAACACAUGCAAGUCGAGGGGCAGCAUGGUCUUAGCUUGCUAAGGCCGAUGGCGACCGGCGCACGGGUGAGUAACACGUAUCCAACCUGCCGUCUACUCUUGGACAGCCUUCUGAAAGGAAGAUUAAUACAAGAUGGCAUCAUGAGUCCGCAUGUUCACAUGAUUAAAGGUAUUCCGGUAGACGAUGGGGAUGCGUUCCAUUAGAUAGUAGGCGGGGUAACGGCCCACCUAGUCUUCGAUGGAUAGGGGUUCUGAGAGGAAGGUCCCCCACAUUGGAACUGAGACACGGUCCAAACUCCUACGGGAGGCAGCAGUGAGGAAUAUUGGUCAAUGGGCGAGAGCCUGAACCAGCCAAGUAGCGUGAAGGAUGACUGCCCUAUGGGUUGUAAACUUCUUUUAUAAAGGAAUAAAGUCGGGUAUGGAUACCCGUUUGCAUGUACUUUAUGAAUAAGGAUCGGCUAACUCCGUGCCAGCAGCCGCGGUAAUACGGAGGAUCCGAGCGUUAUCCGGAUUUAUUGGGUUUAAAGGGAGCGUAGAUGGAUGUUUAAGUCAGUUGUGAAAGUUUGCGGCUCAACCGUAAAAUUGCAGUUGAUACUGGAUAUCUUGAGUGCAGUUGAGGCAGGCGGAAUUCGUGGUGUAGCGGUGAAAUGCUUAGAUAUCACGAAGAACUCCGAUUGCGAAGGCAGCCUGCUAAGCUGCAACUGACAUUGAGGCUCGAAAGUGUGGGUAUCAAACAGGAUUAGAUACCCUGGUAGUCCACACGGUAAACGAUGAAUACUCGCUGUUUGCGAUAUACUGCAAGCGGCCAAGCGAAAGCGUUAAGUAUUCCACCUGGGGAGUACGCCGGCAACGGUGAAACUCAAAGGAAUUGACGGGGGCCCGCACAAGCGGAGGAACAUGUGGUUUAAUUCGAUGAUACGCGAGGAACCUUACCCGGGCUUAAAUUGCAGAUGAAUUACGGUGAAAGCCGUAAGCCGCAAGGCAUCUGUGAAGGUGCUGCAUGGUUGUCGUCAGCUCGUGCCGUGAGGUGUCGGCUUAAGUGCCAUAACGAGCGCAACCCUUGUUGUCAGUUACUAACAGGUUCCGCUGAGGACUCUGACAAGACUGCCAUCGUAAGAUGUGAGGAAGGUGGGGAUGACGUCAAAUCAGCACGGCCCUUACGUCCGGGGCUACACACGUGUUACAAUGGGGGGUACAGAGGGCCGCUACCACGCGAGUGGAUGCCAAUCCCCAAAACCUCUCUCAGUUCGGACUGGAGUCUGCAACCCGACUCCACGAAGCUGGAUUCGCUAGUAAUCGCGCAUCAGCCACGGCGCGGUGAAUACGUUCCCGGGCCUUGUACACACCGCCCGUCAAGCCAUGGGAGCCGGGGGUACCUGAAGUGCGUAACCGCGAGGAGCGCCCUAGGGUAAAACUGGUGACUGGGGCUA
rnacentral:rRNA from 1 species